rnacentral:rRNA from 1 species
UACGUAGGUGGCAAGCGUUGUCCGGAAUUAUUGGGCGUAAAGCGCGCGCAGGCGGUCCUUUAAGGCUGAUGUGAAAGCCCGCGGCUCAACCGUGGAGGGUCAUUGGAAACUGGGGGACUUGAGUACAGAAGAGAAGAGUGGAAUUCCACGUGUAGCGGUGAAAUGCGUAGAGAUGUGGAGGAACACCAGUGGCGAAGGCGACUCUUUGGUCUGUAACUGACGCUGAGGCGCGAAAGCGUGGGGAGCAAACAGG